rnacentral:misc_RNA from 1 species
GGGUCUUUCGUGCCAAGCGGUGCUUUGUUUGCUCUCUUGUUGGCUUCGAUUGCUUCAUAGAGUUGUUUUCUCUCAAUGGGGUGGUCUGUUGUUGACUUGUGGGUGCAUAAUGCAAUACGUGCAGGCGCAUGAGUGGUGUUUUGCUUGUGUUGGUUGGUUGGAUCCUUGCUCUGGCAACGACGUCCAACCUCACAUGCAUCUUCAGUCGGGUCUCGAGAUACAUGUUAUCUCGGGUGUUGUAUUGGUUUCUUGUGUUGCGUACCUUAUGCGAUGGUAAUCGGUAGUCUAAAUGUUCCAUUUCGCCUUUCGUUGUCCCUUCUGGGUUGAUGUAGGGUGAACCACGAAGUAAUCUCCGUGUCCCACCCCACUCACAUUAGAUUGUGCUUGUGGAUUGGUCCAUGGGGUAUUUGCUUGGACUCUCGGAUGCGGUGCACUAUAUACGGGCAUGAGGUCUUGUGACCUCUGUUUGUCCUAACAAAAGCUUUCAUCGCUUGGUUGCGAACGAUUGCGAUCCCCGUUUCGAGCCUUCGGGCGAGUGCGGUGAUGGCUUCGUUGAGGAAUGC